rnacentral:rRNA from 1 species
UACGUAGGGGGCAAGCGUUGUCCGGAAUCAUUGGGCGUAAAGCGCGUGUAGGCGGCUAGGUAAGUCUGCUCUGAAAGCCCGGGGCUCAACCCCGGGAGGCGGGUGGAUACUGUCUAGCUCGAGUCCGGAAGAGGAGUGUGGAAUUCCUGGUGUAGCGGUGAAAUGCGCAGAUAUCAGGAGGAACACCAAUGGCGAAGGCGGCUCUCUGGGACGGUACUGACGCUGAGACGCGAAAGCGUGGGGAGCGAACAGG